UACGUAGGGUGCGAGCGUUGUCCGGAAUCAUUGGGCGUAAAGCGCGCGUAGGUGGCCUCAUAAGUCCGCUGUGAAAGUCAAAGGCUCAACCUUUGAAAGCCGGUGGAUACUGUGGGGGCUAGAGUACGGAAGAGGCGAGUGGAAUUCCUGGUGUAGCGGUGGAAUGCGCAGAUAUCAGGAGGAACACCAAUAGCGAAGGCAGCUCGCUGGGACGUUACUGACACUGAGGCGCGAAAGCGUGGGGAGCGAACAGG
rnacentral:rRNA from 1 species